CGGCGGACGGGUGAGUAACACGUGGAUAACCUACCUAUAAGACUGGGAUAACUUCGGGAAACCGGAGCUAAUACCGGAUAAUAUAUUGAACCGCAUGGUUCAAUAGUGAAAGACGGUUUUGCUGUCACUUAUAGAUGGAUCCGCGCCGCAUUAGCUAGUUGGUAAGGUAACGGCUUACCAAGGCAACGAUGCAUAGCCGACCUGAGAGGGUGAUCGGCCACACUGGAACUGAGACACGGUCCAG
rnacentral:rRNA from 1 species